rnacentral:rRNA from 1 species
CCCUUAGAUGUCCUGGGCUGCACGCGCGCUACACUGACGAACUCAACGAGCUUAUCACCUUGGCAGAGAUGUCUGGGUAAUCUUUUGAAAGUUCGUCGUGCUGGGGGUAGAUGAUUGUAAUUAUUCGUCUUGAACGAGGAAUUCCUAGUAAGUGUGAGUCAUCAGCUCGCGCUGAUUACGUCCCUGCCCUUUGUACACACCGCCCGUCGCUCCUACCGAUUGAAUGGUCCGGUGAGGUUCUCGGAUUUUUUCUGUUGUUUGGUUCGCUAAACGAUUGAAGAGAGAAGUUACCCAAACCUUACCAUUUAGAGGAAGGAGAAGUCGUAACA